CCUACGGGAGGCAGCAGUGAGGAAUAUUGGUCAAUGGUCGGGAGACUGAACCAGCCAAGCCGCGUGAGGGAUGAAGGUACAGAGUAUCGUAAACCUCUUUUGUCAGGGAACAAAGGCGGGGACGUGUCCCCGGAUGAGUGUACCUGAAGAAAAAGCAUCGGCUAACUCCGUGCCAGCAGCCGCGGUAAUACGGAGGAUGCGAGCGUUAUCCGGAUUUAUUGGGUUUAAAGGGUGUGCAGGCGGUCUGUUAAGUCAGCGGUAAAAGCCCGGGGCUCAACCCCGGCCCGCCGUUGAGACUGGCAGUCUCGAGUUGGAGAGAAGUAUGCGGAAUGCGCGGUGUAGCGGUGAAAUGCAUAGAUAUCGCGCAGAACUCCGAUUGCGAAGGCAGCAUGCCGGCUCCACACUGACGCUGAGGCACGAAAGCGUGGGUAUCGAACAGGAUUAGAUACCCUUGUAGUC
rnacentral:rRNA from 1 species